GACGCGCCAUCGCCACCAUCAUCAUCACCUUGGGCGACAAAGGAAGAUGGGUGGGCAUGAAGUAGUCAGUUGUUGAAGCUGACACGACAGUGCCCAGGGAGCCAGCAAAUUGGCAAGCGGAUUGGCUAACCAAGUUCUUGCUCUUUGUUGGUGUGACAAUUUGGAAACGAACAGCGACGGGAUGACGAACAAACUUUCUUGAGUGAAACGGUAUUCCAGGCGACCAGUUCUUUUUCAUACGUCGUAUGGGAGAAGUACGUCGUUCGUGUUUCCGGCCAAGAUUCAGGUUUCUUCUAAUCUGAAGUGUGUGGU